UACGUAGGGGGCUAGCGUUGUCCGGAAUCAUUGGGCGUAAAGAGCGUGUAGGCGGUCCGGUAAGUCCGCUGUGAAAGUCGGGGGCUCAACCCUCGAAUGCCGGUGGAUACUGUCGGGCUAGAGUGCGGAAGAGGCGGAGUGGAAUUCCUGGUGUAGGCGGUGAAAGUGACGCAGAUAUCAGGAGGAACACCUAUUGCGAAGGCAGCUCGCUGGGACGUAACUGACGCUGAGACGCGAAAGCGUGGGGAGCAAACAGG
rnacentral:rRNA from 1 species